rnacentral:rRNA from 1 species
GAUGAACGCUAGCUACAGGCUUAACACAUGCAAGUCGAGCGAGCGGCUGACGGGUCUGUAAUGUCUCGGGACUGCCCGAUAGAUGGGGAUAACUACUGGAAACGGUUGCUAAUACCCCAUACUCUCUGAUAACCCAUCUGGGAUUAGCUAGUAGGUAAGGUAAUGGCUUACUUAGCCGACGAUCCCUCGCUGGUCUGUGAGGAUGAUCAGCCAAACGGGGACUGAGACACGGCCCAGACUCCUACGGAGGCAGCAGUGGGGAAUAUUGCACAAGGGGCGCAAGCCUGAUGCAGCCAUGCCGGGUGUAUGAAGAAGGCCCUAGGGUUGUAAAGUACUUUCAGUCGGGAGGCGUUACCGAAAGAAGAAGCACCGGCUAACUCCGUGCCAGCAGCCGCGGUAAUA